rnacentral:lncRNA from 1 species
GCCCGCCCCCGGCCCUCCCCGCUCCUGUCCAGCAGGCAGCCCGCCGCCGCUGCCCCGGCCGCUGCGGAGCUGGCGAGAAGGCUUCCGACUUGGAGCCUCCGGCUGCCGAGCAUGCCCAGUCCGCGGCGGAGCCGGGUCGGCUUCCCGCGCGACGCCGGUCCGUUCCUCCGGGUGUUCCCGGCGGCCGGGGGGCGGGGACCGCGGACGCUCGACCGGGGACCCAGCGGAGUCCCGCAGGACAGCGAGUGGGGGGCGGAAGUUAGAAGAGGAGUUCUCGUUCCUGAGGCGCCGGUACCGCUCCCACUGCUUCCCUGUUGUGACCCAUUCCCGGCGACGGGAGGAUGGAGGUGGCGGAAGACGUCAGGACCGCCGCCGCUCCCCUCCAUGCAUUUCCCCUGCCGCCGGUCAGGUUCCAUGGUGAUGCUGUUAUAGUCACUUGGUGUCCCUGAAAUCUCUGGACCCUCGACCUCACCACCCGAGGAUGCAUUACCACACCUAGACCCACGGAAUCAGAAACGCUAUUGGUGGGGUCCUCCCUGAAAUCUGGUUAACAAGCCCUCAGGGUGAACCUAAAUGCCGCUUUCCCUAAGCCCUUGAGACCCGUUUUCAUGUGAGACGCUGAAAACUUGGGAAAAAACGGAUUCAAAAUGCAGCCUGCUCCUGGCCAGGCGCUUGGGGUCUCUCGUCCUCUCCUGCAUCCCUGGCCUCUUCACCCCAGGACACUAUGCUACUGCACUUACACCGUGUUUUUACAUGACAACAGACAUUCAGUUCAGUUUGGAGUGUCAACCAAGAGCAGGAGAGUGCCUGAGCGGCUUAGUAGCCCCACUGGGUAUUAAACAUCAGUUUAAAAGAUAAAAGGAAGGCUUGCUGGUUUUUGACAUGAGUGCUGGACAGCCACUGGCUACUUCGCACUUGCUGUAACCGAGGUCAAAGUAAGCACUGCUGUAUGACAGAUCAAGGAAUCUAGAGUUUAAAAUCUACCCUCCUCCCCCAGUGUGCACGUGUGUGUGUGUGUGUGUGUGUGUGUGUGUGUGUGUGUAUGUGUGUGUGUGUACACACACACUUGUAAAGAUGAAUUAAAGUCUGCAGAAUAGUGACAGUUGCUAGUGUGUCGCAGUCAAUAUAGGGCUACUUUAAUUUUUUCCCCUGUAUCUUUGAAAUGUUUUUUUAAGAAAAAAAAAGAUAGGACUCUUCUAUGCAUAAUUUUAACAUGAUGCAUCAUAUAUUAAAAAGGGAAGGAUAUAAAAGCAUUUUCACAAAAAAAGCAUUUUCACUUCAAUUUCAAGAAACUAUUCUUAGAAAAGGCACAUGUAAAUACACUAUAUUUAGCAUAGCUGUAAAUAAAUGGGGGGGAUCUAAAGAGAAACCA